UCCUCCACCCCAACUAGUGCCACUGUUACCUGGAGAUUGAUCCACCGGUCCAAGCACAUCGAGGGGAUCUAUGUGCUGGGGUGUGAACGAGGCAGUGGCUUCAUCCAUCCUCGGAUACAACAACAGCUCCAGACCCACGACAUUUCCCUCCUGCACCAUCCACACUCCCACCACAGCCACAACCACGAGCCCGGCCCCACCACCCACACCCUGGAGCAAAGGGAGUCGUCCACUUCAGAGCAUGCGGAGUGGCCUGACAGUGGAGGAGGGCCCCACACCUCACUGGCAGAGGAGAACGUUGAGCACAUCCUCUUAGGUGAGGAGUGGCUGCAGGGGAAGCAAGUGUACCAGGAUUGCUCACUUAACACUCCUAUGCUCUCUGCAACGUCCAUCAUUUCUUUUCAUAAUACAGGAAUCCCAAUCAAGUUUCUUUUUCUCUC